UACGUAGGGUGCAAGCGUUAAUCGGAAUUACUGGGCGUAAAGCGUGCGCAGGCGGUUAUGUAAGACAGGUGUGAAAUCCCCGGGCUUAACCUGGGAACUGCAUUAUGUGACUGCAUAGCUAGAGUACGGUAGAGGGGGAUGGAAUUCCGCGUGUAGCAGUGAAAUGCGUAGAUAUCUGGAGGAACACCGGUGGCGAAGGCGGCAUCCUGGACCAAUACUGACGCUGAGGAGCGAAAGCCAGGGGAGCAAACGGG
rnacentral:rRNA from 1 species